UGAAUCCGAGGAGCUACGGCUCUUAAGUGAUACGAGUCAGACUUCCCAGAAAAGCCCGAACCACGUUAAUCUCUAAUUACCUGUACCCGAAACCGACACAGGUGGGUAGGUAGAGUAUACUAAGGGGCGCGAGAUAACUCUCUCUAAGGAACUCGGCAAAAUGACUCCGUAACUUCGGGAGAAGGAGUGCCUUAUUUAUAAGGUUGCAAUAACAAGAUCCAAGCAACUGUUUAUCAAAAACACAGGUCUCCGCUAAGUCGUAAGACGAUGUAUGGGGGCUGACGCCUGCCCAGUGCCAGAAGGUUAAAGAAGUUGGUUAGUGUAUGCGAAGCUGAUGACUGAAGCCCUGGUGAACGGCGGCCGUAACUAUAACGGUCCUAAGGUAGCGAAAUUCCUUGUCGGGUAAGUUCCGACCCGCACGAAAGGCGUAAUGAUUUGGAUACUGUCUCGGAGAGAGGCUCGGUGAAAUAGACUUGUCUGUGAAGAUGCGGACUACCUGCACCAGGACAGAAAGACCCUAUGAAGCUUUACUGUAACUUGAAAUUGGAAUUGGACUUUGCUUGCGCAGUAUAGGUGGGAAGCGUUGAAGAUAUUCUUGCGGGAGUAUUGGAGCUAUCAGUGAGAUACCACUCUUGUAAUGUUAGAUUUCUAACUUUGAACCAUAAUCUGGUCAAAGAACAGUUUCAGGUGGGCAGUUUGACUGGGGCGGUCGCCUCCCAAAUGGUAACGGAGGCGUACAAAGGUUUCCUCUGAACGGAUAGAAAUCGUAUCUAGAGUGUAAAGGCAUAAGGAAGCUUGACUGUGAGACCUACAAGUCGAGCAGGGACGAAAGUCGGUCUUAGUGAUCUGACGGUACUGAGUGGAAAGGCCGUCACUCAACGGAUAAAAGUUACUCUAGGAUAACAGGCUGAUCUCCCCCAAGAGUUCACAUCGACGGGGAGGUUUGGCACCUCGAUGUCGGCUCAUCGCAUCCUGGGGCGGUAGUACGUCCCAAGGGUUGGGCUGUUCGCCCAUGAAAGCGGUACGCGAGCUGGGUUCAGAACGUCGUGAGACAGUUCGGUCCAUAUCCGGUGUAGGCGUUAGAAUAUUGAGAGGAGCCUUCUUUAGUACGAGAGGACCGAGAAGGACACACCGCUGGUGUACCAGUUAUCGUGCCAACGGUAAACGCUGGGUAGCUAUGUGUGGAGUGGAUAACCGCUGAAAGCAUCUAAGUGGGAAGCCCACCUCAAGAUGAGUAUUCUC
rnacentral:rRNA from 1 species